rnacentral:lncRNA from 1 species
GCGUCGGGUUAUUAAAAUAAUUAGAUGAUGCUAUUAGAAGGUUUGUUAAAGUUACUUUUUAGAAAUAGUGUAUUAUUUUUUGAGGUUAUGUUAUUUGUAAA